rnacentral:rRNA from 1 species
ACGAACGCUGGCGGCGUGCUUAACACAUGCAAGUCGAGCGGUAAGGCCCUUCGGGGUACACGAGCGGCGAACGGGUGAGUAACACGUGAGCAAUCUGCCCUUCUCUUUGGAAUAACCAUUGGAAACGAUGGCUAAUGCCGAAUAUGACCUCCUUUCGCAUGUUUGGAGGUGGAAAGCUCCGGCGGAGAAGGAUGAGCUCGCGGCCUAUCAGCUUGUUGGUGAGGUAAUGGCUCACCAAGGCAUUGACGGGUAGCCGGCCUGAGAGGGUGACCGGCCACACUGGGACUGAGACACGGCCCAGACUCCUACGGGAGGCAGCAGUGGGGAAUAUUGGACAAUGGGCGAAAGCCUGAUCCAGCAACGCCGCGUGAGGGAUGACGGCCUUCGGGUUGUAAACCUCUUUCAGCAGGGACGAAGCGAAAGUGACGGUACCUGCAGAAGAAGGACCGGCCAACUACGU